UCCGAGUUGUCCCCGGCAGUCUCCCAUGAGUCCCCGGCAUUAUCCGCUGGCAACAUGGGACAGGGGUUGCGCUCGUUGCGCCACUUAAGGCAACACCUCACGGCACGAGCUGACGACAGCCAUGCAGCACCUGUGCGGGCUCCCGAAGGAGCACCGUGUUUCCACGGCUGUCACCUACAUGUCAAGCCCAGGUAAGGUUCUUCGCGUUGCGUCGAAUUAAACCACAUGCUCCGCUGCUUGUGCGGGCCCCCGUCAAUUCCUUUGAGCUUUAGCCUUGCGGCCGUACUCCCCAGGCGGGGUGCUUAAUGCGUUAGCUUCGGCACGGACGGGGUCGAUAUCCGCCCACACCUAGCACCCAACGUUUACGGCUAGGACUAC
rnacentral:misc_RNA from 1 species